rnacentral:rRNA from 1 species
UACGGGGGGGGCAAGCGUUGUUCGGAAUUACUGGGCGUAAAGGGUCCGUAGGUGGACGAUUAAGUCAGGGGUGAAAGUCUGCAGCUCAACUGUAGAAUUGCCCUUGAUACUGGUUGUCUUGAAUCAUUGUGAAGUGGUUAGAAUAUGUAGUGUAGCGGUGAAAUGCAUAGAUAUUACAUAGAAUACCAAUUGCGAAGGCAGAUCACUAACAAUGUAUUGACACUGAUGGACGAAAGCGUGGGUAGCGAACAGG